UUUCCGUAGGUGAACCUGCGGAAGAAUCAUUACUGAGUGAGGGCCCCUCGGGGUCCAACCUCCCACCCGUGUUUAACGAACCUUGUUGCUUCGGCGGGCCCGCCUCACGGCCGCCGGGGGGGCAUCUGCCCCCGGGCCCGCGCCCGCCGAAGCCACCUGUGAACGCUGUCUGAAGUAUGCAGUCUGAGACAAUUAUUAAAUUAAUUAAAACUUUCAACAACGGAUCUCUUGGUUCCG
rnacentral:misc_RNA from 1 species